rnacentral:rRNA from 1 species
GAUGAACGCUGGCGGCGUGCCUAAUACAUGCAAGUCGAGCGAACGGACGAGAAGCUUGCUUCUCUGAUGUUAGCGGCGGACGGGUGAGUAACACGUGGAUAACCUACCUAUAAGACUGGGAUAACUUCGGGAAACCGGAGCUAAUACCGGAUAAUAUUUUGAACCGCAUGGCUCAAAAGUGAAAGACGGUCUUGCUGUCACUUAUAGAUGGAUCCGCGCUGCAUUAGCUAGUUGGUAAGGUAACGGCCUACCAAGGCAACGAUGCAUAGCCGACCUGAGAGGGUGAUCGGCCACACUGGAACUGAGACACGGUCCAGACUCCUACGGGAGGCAGCAGUAGGGAACCUUCCGCAAUGGGCGAAAGCCUGACGGAGCAACGCCGCGUGAGUGAUGAAGGUCUUCGGAUCGUAAAACUCUGUUAUUAGGGAAGAACAUAUGUGUAAGUAACUGUGCACAUCUUGACGGUACCUAAUCAGAAAGCCACGGCUAACUACGUG